rnacentral:rRNA from 1 species
AGAGUUUGAUCCUGGCUCAGGACGAACGCUGGCGGCGUGCUUAACACAUGCAAGUCGAGCGGAAAGGCCCCUUCGGGGGUACUCGAGCGGCGAACGGGUGAGUAACACGUGAGCAACCUGCCCCUGACUCUGGGAUAAGCCUGGGAAACCGGGUCUAAUACCGGAUACGACCAUUGCGGGCAUCCGUUGGUGGUGGAAAGUUUUUUCGGUCGGGGAUGGGCUCGCGGCCUAUCAGCUUGUUGGUGGGGUGACGGCCUACCAAGGCGACGACGGGUAACCGGCCUGAGAGGGCGACCGGUCACACUGGGACUGAGACACGGCCCAGACUCCUACGGGGGGCAGCAGUGGGGAAUAUUGCGCAAUGGGCGGAAGCCUGACGCAGCGACGCCGCGUGGGGGAUGACGGCCUUCGGGUUGUAAACCUCUUUCAGCGGGGACGAAGCCCUUUGGGGUGACGGUACCUGCAGAAGAAGCGCCGGCUAACUACGUGCCAGCAGCCGCGGUAAUACGUAGGGCGCGAGCGUUGUCCGGAAUUAUUGGGCGUAAAGAGCUCGUAGGCGGUUUGUCGCGUCGGAUGUGAAAGCCCAUGGCUUAACUGUGGGUCUGCAUUCGAUACGGGCAGACUAGAGGUAGGUAGGGGAGCAUGGAAUUCCCGGUGUAGCGGUGAAAUGCGCAGAUAUCGGGAGGAACACCGGUGGCGAAGGCGGUGCUCUGGGCCUUACCUGACGCUGAGGAGCGAAAGCGUGGGGAGCGAACAGGAUUAGAUACCCUGGUAGUCCACGCCGU